AUCCAGCUGACGAGUCCCAAAUAGGACGAAGCGCUAGUCGGUGAU
rnacentral:hammerhead_ribozyme from 1 species